UCAGCAUCACUGUGUGCUGAGAUUUCUCCCACUCACUGUCAGCUGGCCAACACCUGGUUUCUGUGUGAGAGCCCAUGGCAGCCUGUCUUUACAGGAGAGGUUCUCCAGUCCUUGAAUCACCAUCAUGACCCUACUCUGUCCACCCUCCAACCAUCCUACGUCUUCCCUGUGUCUGGACACAGCACUCCAGCAUCACUGCCCACAACUGGAAGGAGAGAGGAAAAAAUAACCUGUGCUCCGGAUUCCCUUUGUGACCAUCCCAAAGGCCCAAAGUCUCUUUUGACUGCCCUGUAAAAGUGCGCAUGCACUGGAAGGGGUGCCUCAAGAGCCUGCAGUGUUUCCACCCUUGGAGAGAGUCACAGCUGAGCUGGACACAGCCCUGGUGGCCUGAUCUAACUGUGAAGACAGCUUGCCUUCAGGGGGGAGGUCAGCUCAGAUGACCUUUCUAAGUCCCCACCAACACAAAGCAUCCCGUGACAUCCACUAGGGCAGAGAAAGACAAUGGAGAGCUUGG